rnacentral:rRNA from 1 species
UACGAGGGGGCAAGCGUUGUUCGGAAUUAUUGGGCGUAAAGGGUGCGUAGGCGGUUUUGUAAGUCUUGUGUGAAAUCUUCAGGCUCAACUUGAAGACUGCACGGAGAAACUGCAGGGCUUGAGUGUGGGAGAGGUGAGUGGAAUUCCUGGUGUAGCGGUGAAAUGCGCAGAUAUCAGGAGGAACACCGGUGGCGAAGGCGGCACUCUGGGCCGAUACUGACGCUGAGGAGCGAAAGCGUGGGGAGCGAACAGG